rnacentral:rRNA from 1 species
UACGUAGGGUGCAAGCGUUGUCCGGAAUCAUUGGGCGUAAAGAGCGUGUAGGCGGUCCGGUAAGUCCGCUGUGAAAGUCGGGGGCUCAACCCUCGAAUGCCGGUGGAUACUGUCGGGCUAGAGUGCGGAAGAGGCGAGUGGAAUUCCUGGUGUAGCGGUGAAAUGCGCAGAUAUCAGGAGGAACACCUAUUGCGAAGGCAGCUCGCUGGGACGUAACUGACGCUGAGACGCGAAAGCGUGGGGAGCAAACAGG